CCUUAAACGAAAUUAGAAAAUACCAAAAAUAAAACAUUAAAACACCCCCCACCCCAUUAAUAAUAGUAGUGAUGAUGCAAAUAAUAAUAAUAUGACUAUACUCCAGAAAAGGCGUCACUCACCGUCAAGGCACAAGGGUUGCUUGUAGUUUCAAGUGACGACAGGACGGCAAAGUCUACACAGAUCAUUCAUGGAAAGCCAUCAUCUUUAUUAAAAUGCCACAGCUAGUACAACACAAGUUAACUCUCCAAACACCUCCUGGGAGCCUUGGGUGGCAGAGAGCCAUCACCAUGGUGAUCUGAACACAGAUUCCCUGCACACCGGUCCAUUGUGACGGCCGUGUGUUGAGGAUGUGGGAGGACACCGGAGUGCCCGGAGAUAACCCACACGGGCACGGGGAGAACAUGCAAACUCCACACAGGGAGGGCCAGAGGUGGAAUCGAGCCCGUACCCUCCUAACCGUGAGGCGGAAGUGCUAACCAGUGCCCACCGAACCGCUUGAAAACGUUUGAAAAAUUCGUAUUUUUAGAAAAUCCAUAUUUGUACACUCCUAAAUUUCUGUGGAAACAGUCUCUUAUGCCUUGUCUGCAGGUAGCAAUUCAUAGCAAGCUCAGUUUUGUUCCUCUUGUUCAAAGUUGCUGCUGCUUCGGAGUUAGGAUCAGUAAAAUACAUUGGGAACCCCUAAAGUAGAAUGCCCCAAAGUCAUACAAAUUAGAAUUCAAACAACUUGUCUGAAAAAAAUGUCACAUCUUGUGUGUUUUCAAUUCAAUGAGUAAUAAAGAGGAAACGUUUGUUGA